GUAUGUAAAUAAGGCGAAGAAAUCAUUGAUUUAAACAAGUAUAAUUAUAAAAUUGUAUUUAUUUUCACAUAGCAAAUAAGUAGCAUUUAACCCAAAAACUUUAGAGUAGUUGCCCUUUGUUUACUUAGCAUUUGACAACUCGGAUUUUGCAAAAUGGUUGAAGAAUAAGUAAUUGUUGUAUCUUUUCUUAAUAAAAGCAUUCGAUGAUUACCGAUUUUGGCAUAUUGCAUAUUGCCAAGGGAGAUGUUUACUGAGGAUUCCAUGCCAUUAAUGUGCAGGCUGUUGCUGACGCCAGCAUGAGCAAUAUCUGAGCACCAAUGAUGAGGGUCAUUUUCUGGGAGAUAGUGGGUAUCCGUUAAGGACUAACCUGAUGACCCCUUAACCUCAUCCCUCCCAUGCUGUGGAACAGGCCUACAAUGACC